UGCAUCGAUGGUCUAGUGGCAUGACUUAGGCCUUCCAAGCCUAUAGCCCGGGUUCAAUUCCCGGUCGAUGCAU
rnacentral:tRNA from 1 species